rnacentral:rRNA from 1 species
GACGAACGCUGGCGGCGUGCUUAACACAUGCAAGUCGAACGGUGAAUACCUUCGGGGUGGAUUAGUGGCGAACGGGUGAGUAACACGUGGGCAAUCUGCCCUUCACUCUGGAACAAGCCCUGGAAACGGGGUCGAAUACCGGAUAACACACUCGCGGGCAUCUGCACGGGACGAAAACUCGGGCGGCGAAGGAUGAGCCCGGGGGCUAUCAGAUUGGUGGGGAGGGAAGGGCUCACCAAGGCGACGACGGGUAGCCGGCCCGAGAGGGCGACCGGCGACACUGGGACUGAGACACGGCCCAGACGCAUACGGGAGGAAGCAGUGGGGAAUAUUGCACAAUUGGCGAAAGCCUGAUGCAGCGACGCCGCGUGAGGGAUGACGGCCUUCGGGUUGUAAACCUCUUUCAGCAGGGAAGAAGCGAGAGUGACGGUACCUGCAGAAGAAGCGCCGGCUAACUACGUGCCAGCAGCCGCGGUAAAAC